rnacentral:lncRNA from 1 species
UUGACAUUUGUAUGUAGUCGACUCGACCCAUUCCACUCGUGAUAAUUCAGUCCCCCUUCCCCGAGCUGUAUUGGUAGCAUCCAUCAUGGAUGGAGUUCCUUUGAAUGUCGGCAAUAUCAUGUCGAGAGCGAUCUCUCAAGUCGGGUACGAGACCAAGACCAACUACCCAUUCCCGAACACACUCUCCAUGUACUUCAAGGAAUUGGAU